UCCGGGAGCCCACCUCCUCCUGGGUAUGCCCCAGGUAAGCCGCCACAGGAGGAGGGCCAGGUCUCAAGGGACUCUUGAAGAGUGACACAGCCCCUUCCGGAAAGGGUAGACAUCAUGCCCAGAGCAUCAGCUCACAAACCACCAUGAAGAGUGCAGAGAGUCAGGAAGAAAGACCUUGACUGGGGAAACAUUCACCUGCCCUUCUAGCUCUACUUGACUCACUUGGAUGGAGCCGUCAGGGGGGCGGGGGGAGGGUGGCACUGAGAUUCUGCAGGAUGCACCCUGAGGACCCAAGUGUUCUUGUUUUAUUUGAAACUGUUGACCUUCAAAGGCUCUCCUUGAGCUAGGCUUCUGUGAGGAAUUCUCCGCUAGGAGGUAACAAAGAGACAUCUUCCAUUCUUUCUAAGGAAAAAAUCUGCAAAACAUUAUGCUAUGACUGAGUCCUUAAAUAAUCCCUGACAUCUGUUUCCCUCCACCGUGUAUUUCCUGCCCGGGAAUCCUUACGUGUCUUGCUUCGUAAAUAUCAUCACUUGAAAGCUCC